GGCACCCUCAAUGGACUCCAAAUGUUAACUUUCAAGGUCACUGUGACUUUGAGAAUGUCAUAAAUUGCACUUUGCCAGAUCCAGUGAAUAAGGCAGAGAAGGACAAAUCUUAAUGAUUUUACCAGCCUGCCUUUUGGUUGGGUGGCACAGAAACCAGCCUUGACUUUAUUUUUGAUCACACUUCAUUAAAGACAUGAAAAAGGAUUUCCAGACUGCCUCAGAAAGUAAAGAGAAUGAUCGAUUCAGAAACGUUUGAUAACUGGUGAUGAAGUUUUAUACAGAUUGAAGCUGAAGUGAACUUGGAGAGCAAUGCAGAGGAAGGUCAUUUACGGAUGUGCAUCACCACUCACUACAGAGGGUUUUUCACAGUACCAUUUUCAUGAUAUAAAGAAAGCCAACAGCAGUUCUGCAAGCUGCAUACUCUCAGAAGUCCACGGGUUCAGCUUUCAUCAUAAAAAAACAUGCAGUGUUAAGAGAAGAAGCAGUGAGAAUACUGAAGAACUGAGAAGUCUCAGUAGUGGAACUUUGAUCCAAACUCCUGGAAAGAGAAGCCAGCAGUCCAUGCACACCCAUGUUUGCCAUAUCACAGUUUGUAACAGCUGAACCAUGGAAGCAGACUGUAUGUCCAUCCACAGAUGAAUGGAGAAGAAAAAUAUGAGAUUUAUACAUGAUGGAAUAUUACUCUGCUGUAGAGAAUGAUAAACCUGAGUCAUUGGUAAGAAAUGGAUGUACCUAGAAAACAUGUAAAGUGAAAUAAAGCAGAGACAUGAGCUUAAGUGCCACAUGGUUUCUCACCAGAGAAACUCAAAGUACAAACAAAGAGCAAAACAAAA